rnacentral:rRNA from 1 species
CCUACGGGUGGCUGCAGUGGGGAAUCUUCCGCAAUGGGCGAAAGCCUGACGGAGCAACGCCGCGUGAUCGAAUGAAGGCCUUCGGGUUGUAAAGAUCUGUUGCCAGGGACGAAUCAUCAAUGCGAAUAGUUUUGUGUAUGACGGUACCUGUAUAGAAAGCUCCGGCUAACUACGUGCCAGCAGCCGCGGUAAUACGUAGGGAGGAAGCGUUGUCCGGAAUUACUGGGCGUAAAGGGGGCGUCGGGGGGCGCUGAAAUCAGGUGGGAAAACGUCGGGGUUAACCUGGGUACAGCACUUGAAACUGGGUGUCUUGAGGGGAGGAGAGGAAAGUGGAAUUCCUGGUGUAGCGGUGAAAUGCGUAGAUAUCAGGCGGAACGCCAGUGGCGAAGGCGACUUUCUGGACUGUGCCUGACGCUGAGGCGCGAAAGCGUGGGGAGCGAACGGGAUUAGAUACCCGAGUAGUC